rnacentral:lncRNA from 1 species
ACUUCCAAGAUGGCGUCUUCACUCACAUAUCUGGAACCUCGGUGCUCCUUGUCCUUCACGCUCCAUUUGGUGCCUUAUUUUCCAGGCCCUCUUCCCUCAGGUAGCCUGGGCUUUCUCACAGCAUGGUGGCAUCAGGGUUGUAGGAUUUCUUACAAGGCACUGACUUGUAGAAAGUUUUCAGGAGCUCCGAAUGAGGAGAUUCAAGGGCUCUGACGACCAACCGUCGGCUGUCCCAGUACGUCACUUCUUCCACAUUCUAAUGGUCAGAGUAGUCACUAAGGCCAGUCCAGGUUCGCGGAAGGAAAAUUAGAUUCCACGUCUCUAUGGGAGGACUAGCCACACUAAGCCACUGCGCUGGUUUAGAACUGUCUGAAGUCCCUCCUAGAGGUCGUGUGUUUGAUUCUGCAUCUCCGUGAUUUGUGAAUCUUGCAUCAUUUAAAUUCAGCCUUACACACUGAUGCCUUUGGUGCCGUCCCAAUAUUUAGGUAGCAAACUCGUAGUGGGUAGAGAUUCAGGCUUAAGCUUCCAGCCUGGCUCUGAGGAGAACUGUCUGGGGCUCCCUGCCCUCUUCCCCAUGGAUGAGACUCUUCCCAGCCUUGGGCAAACACAGCGGGGAGCUGGCACCAUCUCCCGCUAGACACCUCCUCCUUUUCCUCUUGCCCUUACCAUGACUCCCGAGUUAUUCUCAGAAGUAAAAGCUUUCCACGCCUGCUCUUCUCUCCUGCAGCCAGGAGUGCAAAUUUAGAUAUUGGAGCUGCUCAGGCAGAAAAAUGGCCCUGGAAUCAGGGAAGCAGAAACCUGCAGCUGCCACGAAAGGACCGCGGAGAUGAAGACCCGGAAGCUUGCAUGUGUUGAAGCCCGGGGUGUGGGGGACUGUGGUCACGUACUCGAGGGGGCUUCAGAGACCUCUGGGAAGCCCUUUCUGCCCACUCGAAGCCUGCCCCUGUGCCUGACAAUCUUCCAUCGGGAGCGAUGUCAUAAAGAAGAAAUGGAAUUCAGUGGGAAGAGUGGUGGACUCGGGGACAAAAGAUCUGGGUUUGCGCCCUGGCUCUGACCUAACUCACCAGCAUUAUUGGAGGCACGUUAGUCUUCUCAGGUCAAAGCUUCCAUCUCUCCCUGUUUCAUGAACUUAACUUCUGAGGAGUACUGGUCAGGUGUUCUGUAGGAUGUCCACCUGCUGUUGGUCUGAUGCUUUUCACAUGAGGAUUCUGGGGUGAUGCUUCCCAAGAAGAAGACCUGAGGUGAAGCAUCUUUCUCGUCUCCCAGCCUCCUGCCUCCCAAAUGCUUUCUCCAAGAUGGAUGAAGACAUGCUCCAUCAAUUGGUACUUGCCUCAAAGUCGAGUUUUAUUCAAGUUAAACUGAAGUCACUGCAAAUUCAAGCAAGAUCCCAAUAUCGACUAAGUUCCUUCUCAGAAGUCCUCCCCCAGGGUCAGGCAGAGGGGGAACUGGGUGGUGUUUCAGAUGUGGCUUUUCAAGCUGUGGCCAGAUUGGCAGCAUCAGCAUCACCUGUUGCCUUGAAAACUGCUUGAUAUGAAUGACUGCAAGAUCUGCUGUUAGUCCCCAGAGCUGCCUUUUACUUCUUUGGAGAAGCUGGGACUGAGGUUGCGUAUUUGGGCAGGGCUCAGCUGUGUGGUUCUUCUACCCUAUGUCACCUGGAGUUAAUGCAUGCUUACAUUUAGCUGGUGAUUCAGAUGGAACACUACGAUGGCCUCUCACCCCCCAGGGUCUCUCUGUAUGUGGCCUCUCAUCAUUGAGCGGUUCAGCUUGGACUUCCUUACAGCAUGGCAUCUGGGCUGCAAGAAGGGAAAGAUGCAGCUGCAAACCUUAAGGGCUGAAGUCUCAAGACAUCACCUCCACUACAAUCUAUUGGCUAAAGCAAAUCCCAGGGCCAGUCCAGACUCAGGAGUAGGAGAAAAUAUUAAUAACGCCUCUUGCUAUGAAGAGUGGCAAGUGUAUACAGGGAGGAGAGGAAGUGCCGGUGGCCAUUUUUGGAAACCAUUAACAUAUAAUUGCAGAUAGUGAUACACUCAGCAAUGAAUAUUAAGCCUAGUAAAGGGAAAGUCUAGAAGGGCUUUCAGGAGGAUUUAUCUUCUGGGCCGGAUCCUGCCUAGGAAAGGCUCAUGCAUCCUUCCUACAAAAGAGGCACUGACACUUCUGAUUAAGGUAGGAUAAGCUGUCACUUGUUGGUAAAGUUUCUACCAGUCUCUAACCCAUUGAAGGAGAAUAUUUUGCUUUCUUCUCUCAGAUCUUGUGGAUGUGCUGUGGAAAUGGAGAACCUUAACCAUUGCAUAGAAUGGACUUGGGGCAAGUUCCUGAGCUAUAAGUUACAUAGCUCAGAAGUAGCAGAGCCAGGAUCCAACACCUGUUUUGCCAUACAUCAAAUGGGGACAAUAGAAGUAACUGAUAUUAACCUAGGGCUGAAAUAAGGCAUGUCUGCUGCUUGGUGGUUGCAGUCACAGUCACAGGAAGUUUUAAAGGCACUGUAGCCAAGAGUUUGGCUUCCUCCUCACAGGUCUCUUGGGGUGGCCCUGUCCUCCCUCUUGUUUCCUUGGCACAGCAGGGUCUAGACCCUCUACUCAGCCAUACACAGGAGCCAGGCUGCUGGAAAACAUACCCCCAGCCCCAACUGCUUUGUCCAGUCUUGGGGGAGGUGGGAAAUGUACACACCUAGAAGUGAUGAUGGUAUUUCUCCUGCAGGUUCCCAUGAAAAGCAGCAUCCCAGUGAAGUCAAAGCCCUGGAACCAUCCUCUUCAUCUGUGUUGCUGCUGAGAGAUCAGAAGUCUACCUCUGGAGAUAGAAUCCUUGUCUGCUGCUGGGAUGGAGGGAAGUGCUAACAUUCCACUAGAAAGUGGGUUCUUCCAUGGAGGGACAGAAUUUGAUUCUUGCUGCUUAUACAAAGUAGGUGUUCACAAGGCACUUGUGAACAGCUAGCUCUGCAGAACAAGUCUCCAUCAUCUCGUUGCAGGCUGCUUACCUGCUGGGAGUGGCAUCCUGGGGCCUUCCUCUCUGGCCACCCUAGACUUUGGUUUUAAUUGCUCCUGAGUCUCCCUUCUUCCUGCCGGCUGGCCCUGCGGUCUGUCACCUACGGGACGGCCAACGUCAGAGCUGGGUGACCUUUCAAAGACACCAGGAUUUGUUUAAUUUUCAGAAUUCACCUCUCUUCAUCCUUUUUAUCAGAGGCAGUUAGGGCCCAGCUGGGGAGGCUAUUUGGCAUUUUUCCCUGUAUUUUGAAACAGGUGGGCUGGGGCCUUCUCAAGUGGAGUCUUUUCAACUGAGAGAACUAGAAAGACAGACAAUGAUAGAAUGGGGUGGGGGUGGAGUAGAAUUACCAAGAGAACCAAACAUACAUUAAGUUAUUUUAACACCUGACUCAUUUUCAUGAAAGUCUUCAUUACUGCAUCUUCUGUCUCCAAGGUUUUCUACACACAUAAUUGCAGCUUGUGUUUACAAAGUCAUUACCACAUGCCAAGCACGUCACAUGUCUCGCUUCAUGUAACCUUCACAGCAGCACCUUGAGGUUCUGUUAUCUCCGUUUUACAGGUAGGUAAGGUUAGUUAUUGCCCAAAGCCAUACAGUGUGUUGAGGGGCCAGAGUUUAAACACAGCUCUGUAGACUCAGUCUGUCCACGAAGCAAGAGUAUGUGCAAACCUCACCUGAUCCUCACAAUAACCUUGGAAAAGAAAUGUAUCCUCCCAUCUGAUAGAGUCCGAGUAGUCUCAGCUGCUAUAAUUGUUAUUCCUUCUGUGCUCAACAUUUGUUGGCUGGGUGACUUGAAAGCUGAAGUGAGAAAAACAGUACCUGGAACAUGGAGUAAAAACCCUUUAACAUAUGGGAAUCUACUAAACCCCAUCAGGUCAGUGAAAUAGGUACUAUUAUCACCAUUUUACAGGAGAAAAAA